rnacentral:rRNA from 1 species
UACGUAGGAUCCGAGCGUUGUCCGGAUUUACUGGGUGUAAAGGGUGCGUAGGCGGUCGGGUAAGUCUGAUGUGAAAUCUCACAGCUUAACUGUGAAACUGCAUUGGAUACUAUCCGGCUCGAGGAAUGGAGGGGAGACUGGAAUACUUGGUGUAGCAGUGAAAUGCGUAGAUAUCAAGUGGAACACCAGUGGCGAAGGCGAGUCUCUGGACAUUUCCUGACGCUGAGGCACGAAAGCCAGGGGAGCAAACGGG